rnacentral:rRNA from 1 species
GCGUGAUCGAUGACGGCCCUAGGGUUGUAAAGAUCUUUCAGUGGGGACGAUAAUGACGGUACCCACAGAAGAAGUCCCGGCUAACUCCGUGCCAGCAGCCGCGGUAAUACGGAGGGGACUAGCGUUGUUCGGAAUUACUGGGCGUAAAGCGCGCGUAGGCGGACUGAUCAGUCAGGGGUGAAAUCCCGGGGCUCAACCCCGGAACUGCCUUUGAUACUGUCAGUCUUGAAUUCGAGAGAGGUGAGUGGAAUUCCGAGUGUAGAGGUGAAAUUCGU